rnacentral:rRNA from 1 species
UACGUAGGGGGCUAGCGUUGUCCGGAAUCAUUGGGCGUAAAGCGCGCGUAGGUGGCUUCGUAAGUCCGUUGUGAAAGUCAAAGGCUCAACCUUUGAAAGCCGAUGGAUACUGCGAAGCUAGAGUACGGAAGAGGCGAGUGGAAUUCCUGGUGUAGCGGUGAAAUGCGUAGAUAUCAGGAGGAACACCGGUGGCGAAGGCGGCUACCUGGACAGAAACUGACGCUGAGGCGCGAAAGCUAGGGGAGCAAACAGG